rfam:Oryza rufipogon genomic scaffold, chr03
AAAAAGGCAAUCCCUAGGUUUUCAUGUCCAACUUUGACUGUCUGUUUUAUAUGAAAUUUUUUUAUAAUUCAUAUUUUCAUUGUUGUUAGAUGAUAAAAUAUGAUUAAUAUUUUAUGCGUGACUUGUCUUUUUAAUUUUUUUUAUAAUUUUUUCAAAUAAGACGGAUGGUCAAACGUUAAAUACAGAGAAACCAGGGUUUGUCUUUUU